rnacentral:lncRNA from 10 species
AAAAAAAAGAAAUGGCAAUUCAGAUAAAUCCCAAUAUAAUUAUGCUGAGAGCUGGACAUGGUGGCACAGGCCUCUGUUCUCAGCUACGCAGGAGACUGAGGUGGGAGGAUCCCUUGAGCCCAGAGCUCGAGGCCAGCCUAGGAAAUAUAGCAAGGCCUCAUCUCUCUCUCUCUCUAUAUAUAUAUAUACUCUCUAUAUAUGUAUAUAUAUAUAUAUACAUACUGAGUAAAUGAAGCCAGAUCAAAACAAGUACAUACUGUAUGAAUCCAUUAUAUAAAACUCUAGGCCGGGCACUGUGACUCACGACUGUAAUCCCAGCAUUUUGAGAGGCUUAGGUGGAUGGAUCAACCUAGGUCAGGAGUUCGAGACCAGCCUGGCCAACAUGGUGAAACCCCUAAAAAUACAAAAAUUAGCUGGGUGUGGUGGCGGGUGCCUGUAAUCCCAGCUACUCGGGAGGCUGAGGCAGGAGAAUCGCUUGAACCCUGGAGGUGGAGGCUGCAGUGAGCUGAGAUUGUGCCAUUGCACUUCAGUGUGGGCAACAAGAGUGAAACUCUGUCUCAAAAGAAAAGAAAUAAAUAAAAAGUAAAAAUAAAAUUAUAGAAAAUGCCAACUACUUUAUAUUGACAGAAAGCCUGGGAAUGGGGAGAGAAGCAGAAGAGAGGGAUGACAAAGAGACACAAGGGGCCAGGCACAGUGGCUCACCUGUGUAAUCCCAGAACUUUGGGAGGCCGAGGCGGGCAGAUUCCUUGAAGUCAGGAGUUCAAGACCAGCCUGGCCAACAUGGUGAAACCUCGUCUCUACUAACAAUACAAAAAUUAGCCUGGUGUGGUGGUGGGUGCCUGUAAUCCCAGCUACUGGGAAGGCUGAGGCAGGAGAAUUGCUUGAACCCAGGAGGCGGAGGUUGCAGUGAGCUGAGGUGGCACCACCGCACUACAGCCUGGGCAACAGAGAGAGACUCGUUCUCAAAAAAAAAAAAAAAGAGAGAGACACAGGAAGCUUUGGGGGUGAUGGACAUGCUCAUUAUCCUGAUGAUGGUGAUGGUUACUCAAAUGUAUGCAUGUGUCAAAAUUCAUCAGAUUGUACAUUUUAACAUGUGAGGUUUGCUGUCUGUUAAUUAUACCUCAAUAAGCUGUUAAAGAUAAAAAGAGUAAAAAAAAGAGUAAAAAAAUCCCUUACAUGAGAAUGCUUCUGGAGUUGUUGGAGAGGAGGCCUAGAGCCCAGCUGGGCAUGAGAGAGCAGUCGCUCCAGUUUGGAGAAGGAGGAUGGGGUGCUCCAGGGAGGACAUUUCCAAGGAACAAAUGGAAGACAUAGCUGGCUUUUGUGUUUGAAGGCACACUCAUUACAAUACUGAGGAGGCUGGGUGGGGUGGCUCACCUGUAAUCCCAGUACUUUGGGAGGCUGAGGCAGGCGGAUCACUUGAGGUCAGGAAUUCGAGACCAGCCUGGCCAACAUGGUGAAACCCCAUCUCUAUUAAAAAUGCAAAAAUUAGCCGGGUGUGGUGCCACAUGCCUGUAAUCCCAGCUACUCAGGAGGCUGAGACAGGAGAAUCGCUCAAACCUGGGAGGCAGAGGUUGCAGUGAGCCAAGAUUGUGCCACUGUACUCCAGCCUGAAUGAGUGAGACUCUGUCGCAAAAUAAAUAAAUAAAUAAAUAAAUAAAUAAAUAAAUAAAUAAAAAUACUGAGGAAAUACAGUUCUACUGAAGAGGUGGGGGGUGAAUUAGAGAUAGAUACACAGAAAGCUUAGUAAACAACAUGAGGCAAUUAUUAAUUGCAAAGAAAGCAAAAAAAGUUCUAUAAGACAAGAAAUGUAAUGGACAAAAAAAUGGCUCUAUUCCAAAUAUAUUAAUAUAGUCAUGAAAAUGUGAGUAAUGAUGGUUUAGCCAAAUUGAUAGAAUAUAUCUGGGAAGAUGGAGUGGGAAUUGGUGUAAGGCUGAGCUGUUAGGGCAAGAGGAAGACGUGUAAAAUCUCACCCACCACACCUAGAAGUCAAAACGCAAAAACCUAAAAGUAGUAGAUGAGGAAAUGGUAAUGUAAGCAUAGUAUUUAGACUGAGGGAGGUAAGUAGCAGAGACAGCUGAAGGGAAUAAUCACCAUUGCCUCUAGGGAGUGGGAAUCCGGAGGGAAGUCUGGGGCCUUAGAUUGCUGGUUGUUGUCAAAAGCCAACACUCUCUGGUUUUUCAACUAUUUGUAAAUAUCCCUUAGACAUGAUAAAACUAAAUUUAAGAAACUGUAUGGGAAAAGUCCUGGGAGAGCAUGACUACAAAUUAAAACAGUGAUUUCAACUCUUUAUUUUCCCCCGGUUUAAUUUGUACUGGUCCUGGGUCUUUCCAAGACCAUUUAUUACUUUCAUAAAGAAUAAAAUAAAUGAGUGAAUAAAUGCAGGUGAACAAAACCCAUCCCAUUGCUAAUUCUCAAGAAAGUGGAGGACAAGACUGAAAAGAAGAUAGGAACCAAGAUGGAAAAUCCCAGAGACGGGAGCCGCUGGCCAGGUUCCUGGCACACAGCGUUGGAAGAAGCAGCCUUCCCCUGGGAAACCGCCAAGGAGUCAUUCCAGGACAGCAGCUGGGCUUCCGGAGAACCGGUGCCCGCUGACUACUGUAAGGUUAGGCCCCUGCGGCCCCUCCUACACACACAAUAACAAUAAUAAGUAUAAACACACAAAACAGCGAAGCCUGGGGUAAGAUUCCUGCUCUGACUCACAGGCUGCCUUUCAUGCUUACGACAUAAUCUCUCAAAAACAUCUCCUGUUUGGUAACUUCAGUUUUCUGAACAUCUCCCCUUUAGAUGAGAAGCAAGAGGUGAAAGAAGGGCAAAGUGAGUAAGAAGAAAGAAAGACUUGAGUGCUAUUCUAAAGAGAACAUUCUAGAUGUGUCCAGGGGAAGAAGCAAAAUAUGGGCUCUCUGCCCAAAUUCUCUCACUGAAUUUCAAAAAGAAUUUGUAUCCCCUUUUGAUCCCCAUAGAAGGCAUCAAAAGGUGAGAGAAGUCAAAGAAUCUUUCCAGGUUCACCAAAGUCAGAAUUAUUAUUAUUAUUAUUUUGAGAUGGAGCCUGGUCUGUCACCCAAGCUGGUGUACAGUGGCACAAUCUCGGCUCACUGCAACCUCCACCUCCGGGGUUCAAACAAUACUCCUGUUUCAGCCUCCUGAGUAGCUGGGAUUACAGGUGUGUGCCACCAUGACCCACCCAAAGUCAGAAUUUGAACCCAGUACUCUCCCCUUUUUCCUUUCUUCUCUCCAUCCUUCCUUUUCCUUCUUUAAUUUUUAUUUUUUUAUUUAUUUUGCCUUCAAAAAUAUUUAUAUAGCUCCCAAGCACAACACUAAACACUGGCCUGGGACUUCAUGAAACUUACCUCCAGGGGGAGGGAUGGAAAGUAAAAUAAACAAAUAAAUGAGCAAAUAGUUGCAAAUGCUUGUCAGGGCUGUGAAGCAAAUAAAACAGGGUCAUGUGAAAUACCGAAACUGAGCAGGCAUGACAUGGAAUACUUCAGGAUAAGUGGUCAAGGAAUGUUCUCGAGGAAGCAGUAUUUGAGCUGAACCCUGAGUGAAGAGCUGUGGAAAGACCAGAAACAGUGUUUCAGGUGCAGAGAAUAGUAACUGCAAAGACUGAGGCGAAACUAAAAAAGUCAUCGAAACCCACACUGAGCCCUGCUGGCGGGGAACUGAUGACUCCUCGUUGGUACGGUCGUCUGCCCUGUCCAACGUGGGGUUCUUGAGAAGCUGAUUCUGAAAUUGAGAUUAGGGUACAGGAAGAUUCUUGUGGGGGUGCUCUUGUGAGGAGUGAAGGCAGCGAGGCUAGGCAGAGGGAGGGAGGCACUGAACUGUGCUGCAGUCUCACAGCACUGGCACAAGGACCCUGACCUUGGCAUCACCGACUGCAUAGGGUUGAGAAUUUGACCAUCUCUGGGGUGCCACAACUCUUAUAAAUUCAAUCUCGGGUCUGAUACUCAGCCUUUUCCGCCCUCCAGUUGUGAGAGAUGAUGGCCUCUUUAUAUGCUACCAACGAGGUCCUAUGGCUGUCACACUUUACCUUCGUGAUUAAUCACUCUCAGCCUUCCACUGCCUUUCUCAAAUGCAUUGAUGGUUCUCAGCAACAGCCAUCUCACUCCAUUGUUCGCCCCUCCUCACCAGCCUUUCAAACUCCUGAAGUCUUGCACCUCCUGUCCAUUCCUUUCCAUAGCUGUUCCACCCAAGUGUAUCAUGGAAGUUUUACCAAUUGCAAAGCAUGCCUGGGGGAAUCAGUGCUCCACUGCCACAAGGGAUGGGGUCCUCGUGGUCAACUGGCUGAUGAGUGAUCAAACUUCAAAAUCCCAUACACAGUCUGCUUCCUCAAACCCUUCCUGGCACCAACAUCUCUGAGCCGGAGAUGCACGUGCGGUCUAAGCACCAGCGUGGUGGCCACCCCAGCAGCCUUGGACCCCUGAAGGCUUGAGCACCAAAGCACACACAGCUGCCUCUGGCUGAGUUCUGUGGUCGCCUGCACCCCCUCCACCUGCUUCCCCCGGAGGAUGGAUCAUGAAGAGUGGAAUUGCUUUUCCUCUUGGGGCAGGCACACCAACAGUGUAUGUGAGGCCCCUGCUCCCACUCCCCAGGCUGGCCAGUACUUUGGGCCAAUCUGCUAGACCCAAAAAUGUUAAUCUCACUGAGAUUUAAUUUGCAUUCCCCUGACUACCGGUGAAGUUGAGCAUCUUUUCAUAUGUUUAUUGACAAUUUGCAUUUCUUAUUCAGUAAAUUACCUGCUCGUAUCCUAGAGUCAUAUUUCUGUCUGCCCGUUUUUUUCUAUUCAAUUUGUGGGAGCUCUUUGUAUACCUGGGAUCUAAUCUUUGACUCAUAUAUAUGGCAAGUAUUUUCUAUUACUGUUGUCAACUUUUUAUCAUAGUAAAAUUCUUACAUCCAGCACCCCCACCCCUCCCCUGCCCUUUUUUUUUUUUUUUUUGCAUUUGGGUUAGGCAGAGAGCUAGCUUUACUGUUUUCCAAAUGAAGUCAAUCGAUCCCAAGGAUUUUUAAAUUAUUUAAUCAGUAAAAAUGUACACAUUUUGAG